CUUGGUCAUUUAGAGGAAGUAAAAGUCGUAACAAGGUCUCCGUUGGUGAACCAGCGGAGGGAUCAUUACCGAGUUUACAACUCCCAAACCCCUGUGAACAUACCUAUACGUUGCCUCGGCGGAUCAGCCCGCGCCCCGUAAAACGGGACGGCCCGCCCGAGGACCCCUAAACUCUGUUUUUAGUGGAACUUCUGAGUAAAACAAACAAAUAAAUCAAAACUUUCAACAACGGAUCUCUUGGUUCUGGCAUCGAUGAAGAACGCAGCAAAAUGCGAUAAGUAAUGUGAAUUGCAGAGUUCAGUGAAUCAUCGAAUCUUUGAACGCACAUUGCGCCCGCGAGUAUUCUGGCGGGCAUGCCUGUUCGAGCGUCAUUUCAACCCUCAAGCUCAGCUUGGUGUUGGGACUCGCGGUAACCCGCGUUCCCCAUAUCGAUUGGCGGUCACGUCGAGCUUCCAUAGCGUAGUAAUCAUACACCUCGUUACUGGUAAUCGUCGCGGCCACGCCGUUAAACCCCAACUUCUGAAUGUUGACCUCGGAUCAGGUAGGAAUACCCGCUGAACUUAAGCAUAUCAAUAAGCGGAGGA
rnacentral:rRNA from 1 species